CAUUUUGGCAUCAUAUAUGAAUAUUGUGUUAAUAACUCUCAUUUUGAUAGGAACUUCAGAAUUUUUCUGUCUUGUAUGUACAGGUUGAAGUCACUGACUGGAUCACCUUCAGAUUUAGAAAAGGCUGGACAUGAGGAAGCAGUUCAUGACUUCAAGUUUUUCAGAGCUUUGGCUCCUGAAAAGCUCCAACAUUUGGAAACUUUUGAAUUUGUAAGCAAAGAGGCUGGUGCAGUAUUUGGGUUUCUUCCUAUCUAUGAGCUUGAGCAUCCAAUUGAAGUGAGCAUGCCAAACAGUCUUCAAAGGAUCAAAGCUGAGAAGUCCGGUCACAAGGGACGGGAAAAGCAUCCAGAUUCCAUUGAAGACUUGAGUCAAGACAAAUAAAUGUAGUUUCAUUUCUUCAUUUAAGUGGAUUAGCAGAUUUCUUUUGUUAUUUUUUCUCUGCUUUUCAAUUACAUUUAAAUCCAUUUCAUUAUUAAGUAAAACAUAUAGAAAACAGAUCUUUACUUCUAUUCCAAUCCUUCAUGCAAAGAAUAAAUUCUAAUAAAGCCAGUGUAUGAUUAUAAUU
rnacentral:lncRNA from 1 species